rnacentral:rRNA from 1 species
GAUGAACGCUGGCGGCGUGCUUAACACAUGCAAGUCGAACGGAAAGGCUCCUGCUUGCAGGGGUACUCGAGUGGCGAACGGGUGAGUAACACGUGGGUGAUCUGCCCUGCACUUCGGGAUAAGCCUGGGAAACUGGGUCUAAUACCGGUUAGGACGAUGGUUUGGAUGCCAUUGUGGAAAGUUUUUCGGUGUGGGGUGAGUUCGCGGCCUAUCAGCUUGUUGGUGGGGUAAUGGCCUACCAAGGCGUCGACGGGUAGCCGGCCUGAGAGGGUGUACGGCCACAUUGGGACUGAGAUACGGCCCAGACUCCUACGGGAGGCAGCAGUGGGGAAGAUUGCACAAUGGGCGCAAGCCUGAUGCAGCGACGCCGCGUGGGGGAUGACGGCCUUCGGGUUGUAAACUCCCUUCGCUAGGGACGAAGCGUUUUGUGACGGUACCUGGAGAAGAAGCACCGGCUAACUACGUG